rnacentral:rRNA from 1 species
UACGAAGGGGGCUAGCGUUGUUCGGAAUUACUGGGCGUAAAGCGCGCGCAGGCGGUUUUUCAAGUCAGUGGUGAAAGCCCGGAGCUCAACUCCGGAAAUGCCAUUGAAACUGUUAAACUUGAGGAUGAGAGAGGUGAGUGGAAUUCCCGGUGUAGAGGUGAAAUUCGUAGAUAUUGGGAAGAACACCGGUGGCGAAGGCGGCUCACUGGCUCAUUACUGACGCUCAGGCGCGACAGCGUGGGGAUCAAACAGG